AUCUUUAUAGUUGAAUACAACGACAGCUUUUCACGCUAUAAGUUUGGGUUAAACCCCCAAUACAGAUU
rnacentral:tRNA from 1 species